rnacentral:rRNA from 1 species
UACAGAGGGUGCAAGCGUUGUUCGGAAUUAUUGGGCGUAAAGGGCGCGUAGGCGGUUCGGCAAGUCUCUAGUGAAAUCUCUGGGCUCAACUCAGAGUCUGCUGGGGAAACUGCCGGGGCUUGAGUGUGGGGAGAGGAGAGUGGAAUUCCUGGUGUAGCGGUGAAAUGCGCAGAUAUCAGGAAGAACACCCCGUGGCGAAGGCGGCUCUCUGGGCCUUACCUGACGCUGAGGAGCGAAAAGCGUGGGGGAGCAAACAGG